CACCCCACAGCAUAUGGAGUUUCAGGGCCAGGGAUCCAAUCCUGAGCCGCAGCUGCGGCAACAUGGGAUCCUUAACCCACUGUGCUGGGCCGGGGAUCAAACCUGCAUGCCAUCGCUCCCAAGACACCGCUGAUCCUGUGGGAUCAGUUCCCACAGUGGGAACUCCGGUGUCAUCCUCUUUAGAAAUGAGGACUGUGGCCCGGGGCCUGACCCACCUUGACAGGAGGAAAAAUGGAGCCAGAGGAUCCUGAGGCUUUCGGGGCAGUGAGGACCCUGUGUGCCUGGGAUCAGGGGGAUCCCGUCAGAGAAGGUGGUUAACCUCGGAGCAUAACAAGAAGUAGGGAUGGACCCAAAUAGAUGCUUCUAAGAAUAGAAUUGGAGGGGAGUUCCCACGGUGACUCAGCAGGUAGUGAAACCCACGAAUAUUCAAGAGGAUGUGGGUUUGAUCCUUAGCCUUGCUCAGUGGGCUAAGGAUCCAUCGUUGCUGUGAGCUGCAGUGUGGGUCGUAGAUGUAGCUCAGAUCCCACAUUGCUUUGGCUGUGGUGUAGCCCAGCAGCUGCUGCUCCAAUUUGACCUCUAACCUGGGAACUUGCAUAUGCCACAGGUACGGCCCUAGAAAAAUUAAAAAUUAAAAAAAAAAGAAUAUAAUUGGAGAAAGACAUUACAGGAUAGGGAAAGCGUUCAAUGACUGGGCUGUGGGAAGGGCAGGCGAGAGGGUUAGGAUCAUUCAAUUAGACCCAUGGACAAAAUGCCAUCUCUGAAAAGUGGCUGUGAUAUUAGGAUUUCCACCCAAAUGACUGAUGGGACUCAUUAUACCAAUCUCUGAGAUUGGACAGCAAGGCCACCACUUUCAGCAAUUAAAUAAAAGGCAGGUGCUGCAGUCUGUAAAAAGUUCUGCCAUUUGCUGUCAUAUUCGAGGGGUUUAUUCCAUACCAUUGUAUGCGUAGUUUCUUAGUUUGACGAAGAUACAGGCAAUUACACUUGGCUCUUCUGUUACCAGACAUCGUCCUUGAAAUCUAUGCAACAGACUUAUCAGCAAAGCUGCCUCCUAAACCAAGGCCAGGUUUUCAGCAACUAAAUCCCUUCAGUGGGGUCAAAACAGCCUCAGAAGGUGACACCCUUCCUGGGUGACCAAGGACCACCCACAUUCCUUGCACUUGGGCAGCCCAGAUCCUGGGGCACCAGCAGUGGCCCCGAAGUUCAGAAUUCACCUGCACAGCUGCCGCUGCUUUGUAGGUCUAGUUUUUAAAAAUAACCUCAGGGAGUUCCCGUCGUGGCGCAGUGGUUAACGAAUCCGACUAGGAACCAUGAGGUUUCGGGUUCGGUCCCUGCCCUUGCUCAGUGGGUUGACGAUCCGGCGUUGCUGUGAGCUGUGGUGUAGGUUGCAGACGCGGCUCGGAUCCCGCGUUGCUGUGGCUCUGGCGUAGGCCGGUGGCUACAGCCCCGAUUAGACCCCUAGCCUGGGAACCUCUAUAUGCCGCAGGAGUGGCCCAAGAAAUAGCAAAAAGACAAAAAAUAAAAAUAACCUCAAAUGUUGGUGUAGUGUGGUUUUGAGUGUCUGAAGCAUGUGCCUUAUGUAGUUACUUAGAUACAGAAGACAGCGGAACUGAUGUUAUUUUAAUAAUCCCAGGUAGAUUUCCUGACACCUGGGUUUAUUGCUGUCAUUCCCGCAGCACGAAAAGGCGGAUACAGUUGAAGAAAAGAGGUGAAUUUCUAUAAUCAUGAAAACAGAGGAAGGAGGUUGUAGAGGAGCUAAGGCUGGCUGGUGGGGGCUGGGGACAUCACAGGGCUUUAUCCACUUCUGAGUGUAGGUGUUUCUCCAUUCUAGCAAAAGGGGACAUGUGGUCAAGUAGGGCCGCCAUAUAGCAUUUCGAGGCUUCCAGGUCCCAGGUUUUCCAGUAAACACAGGAUGUCAGCACCCCAUUCACAGACUCAUAGAGGAACUCUAUGUUGGAACCAUAAUGUUGGGUACGUUCUAGAAAUCCUUCACCCCUCAGUUGAGGCUCAUCUCUUUCCCUCAAAACCUCCUUCUAAAGGUCAUUUCACUGCCAUUCAACCCAUAUCUUUGAGCAGCGACUCUGUGCCAGGAACUGUGCCAAGAGUCCGAGGUUCCUCAGUGAAGAAAACCAGGACCCUUUCCUGCACAAAGCUUUCGUUCAAGUGGGAUGAACUGUAAACAAUACACAAAACAGAAAUAUUAUAAUAAAUAGAUAUUGUCUACUCUGCUAGAAGUGGAUGAGUGCGAUGGGAAAAACAUAACCAGGCAGUGGGGGCCCACUGGGUGGGGUGAGCUGCAUUUUCCAUAGCAGGUGAUCAGGGUGUGUCUCCUUAAGGAGACAACUGAGAGCAUCCUGGUGCUCUAGUGUUUAGGACGCGGCAUUUUCACCUCUGCAGCCCAGGCUCAGUCCCUGGUCUGGGAACGGAGAUCCCACACGUUGCUGCUGCAUGUUGCAGCCAACAAAAAAGAAAAAAAGGAGCUAAUUGACCAAAGAUGUGAAGGAGGCCAGGAACUGGGCCCUGAGACUGCCCUGGGAAAGGGUGACCUUGGCAGAAGGAACAGCCUGUGCAAAGGCCCUGAGGAGGCCGGGUGUGCCUGGGAUGUUCCAGGAAGAGCAAGGAAGCCAGUGCAGCAGGAUCAUAUGGCCUUUCAGGGAGGCCAGCGAGAGCGCGGGGAGGCGUGAAGGGAUGUCAGGGAAUCAGAGGCAGACAGGGAUAUUGAAGAUGUGGCUUUUCCUCGGAGGUGGGAUGCCACCAGAGGGUUCAGAGCAAGGAAGGGGGAUGCUCUGUCUGUGUUUUCAAAAGGGCAGUCUGGAUGCUGCGUGGGAACAGACCAAGGGAGGUAGUGAUGGAGGCCAUGAAAUCUAUGAUACCGAGGAGCAAGAGAGAGUUCUGGGCUGGAGACCAAUGGGCAUCCUAAGGACCAGAGAGGGUAUUUUAAACCGAGGGGCUGGACGAGACCCCCCGAGGACAGCCAGGGAUGUAGGAGGUGGAGGCUGAGCACCAGGCACCCCAGAGGAGGCAGAGCCAAGAGGUGGAACAAGCAAAGAAGUGGCCAGUGAGCGGGAGACCCGAGAGCAUCAAGUGUCCUGGAGGCAAGCGGGCGAGGCCAGCUGUUGGGACAGCAAGAUGAGACGGGAGACCAGACCACAGACCCAGCAUCACAGAUCAGCAGCGGCCUCGGUAAGAACCAUCGGACGGAGUCAGGCUUUCGAGUCUGAUGAGAAGGGGCUUUGGGAUAGAACAGGAGACACAUUUCAGAGAACAAAUAUG
rnacentral:lncRNA from 1 species